rnacentral:rRNA from 1 species
CAAGUCGAACGCGAAAGCGGGGCAACCCGCAAGUAGAGUGGCGAACGGGUGAGUAAUACAUCGGAACGUAUCCAGUAGCGGGGGAUAACCUGUCGAAAGAUAGGCUAAUACCGCAUACGAUCUACGGAUGAAAGCGGGGGACCGCAAGGCCUCGCACUAUUGGAGCGGCCGAUGUCGGAUUAGCUAGUUGGUGGGGUAAAAGCUCACCAAGGCGACGAUCCGUAGCUGGUCUGAGAGGACGAUCAGCCACACUGGAACUGAGACACGGUCCAGACUCCUACGGGAGGCAGCAGUGGGGAAUUUUGGACAAUGGGCGCAAGCCUGAUCCAGCCAUGCCGCGUGAGUGAAGAAGGCCUUCGGGUUGUAAAGCUCUUUCGGUGAAGACGAAACGGUUCGUGCCAAUACCACGGACUAAUGACGGUACUCACAGAAGAAGCACCGGCUAACUACGUGCCAGCAGCCGCGGUAAUACGUAGGGUGCAGGCGUUAAUCGGAAUUACUGGGCGUAAAGCGUGCGCAGGCGGUUUGUUAAGACAGGUGUGAAAUCCCCGGGCUUAACCUGGGAAUUGCGCUUGUAACUGGCAAGCUAGAGUGUGGCAGAGGGGGGUGGAAUUCCACGUGUAGCAGUGAAAUGCGUAGAUAUGUGGAGGAACACCGAUGGCGAAGGCAGCCCCCUGGGUUAACACUGACGCUCAUGCACGAAAGCGUGGGGAGCAAACAGGAUUAGAUACCCUGGUAGUCCACGCCCUAAACUAUGUCAACUGGUUGUCGGGGAAGAAAUUCCUUGGUAACGAAGCUAACGCGUGAAGUUGACCGCCUGGGGAGUACGGCCGCAAGGUUAAAACUCAAAGGAAUUGACGG